UACGUAGGCAGCGAGCGUUGUUCGGAGUUACUGGGCGUAAAGGGUGUGUAGGCGGUUGUUUAAGUUUGGUGUGAAAUCUCCCGGCUCAACUGGGAGAGUGCGCCGAAUACUGAAUGACUUGGAGUGCGGGAGAGGAAAGUGGAAUUCCUGGUGUAGCGGUGAAAUGCGUAGAUAUCAGGAGGAACACCGGUGGUGUAGACGGCUUUCUGGACCGUAACUGACGCUGAGACACGAAAGCGUGGGUAGCAAACAGG
rnacentral:rRNA from 1 species